rnacentral:antisense_RNA from 1 species
UGUGGGAGGGGGCUUGCUCCCGAUAGCAGGGUCAGGCGCUUAUAGCGCACUGGCCCUGCUAUCGGGAGCAAGCCCCCUCCCACA